GAACAAAAAGCUGAACAACUGUCUCUUUUGUUGGAAACUCACCUAAAAUGUUUUCUGGGCUUAUUUUAACAAUGUGAUCACAUGACUCCUUCUGAUGUUACUGCAGACCUGCUGUAAGCUAGCUAGCUAACGUAGCUAACCUAGUCAUUUCAGAUAUACUGAAAAACACUGACAGUUAUGAGACG